UGGUAAACACGAUUUCCUCCUCAUUCAGAC
rnacentral:piRNA from 1 species